AGCAGUCGCCACGGUAAUACGUAGGGUGCAAGCGUUAAUCGGAAUUACUGGGCGUAAAGCGUGCGCAGGCGGUUUGUUAAGACAGGUGUGAAAUCCCCGGGCUUAACCUGGGAACUGCAUUUGUGACUGGCAAGCUAGAGUAUGGCAGAGGGGGGUGGAAUUCCGCGUGUAGCAGUGAAAUGCGUAGAUAUGCGGAGGAACACCGAUGGCGAAGGCAGCCCCCUGGGCCAAUACUGACGCUCAUGCACGAAAGCGUGGGGAGCAAACAGGAUUAGAUACCCGCGUAGUCCCUGUCUCUUAUAC
rnacentral:rRNA from 1 species